rnacentral:rRNA from 1 species
AUUCAAUCACUUUAGAGGAACCUGUCUAUUAAUCGACUCUCCACGAUAUCUUUCACUUUUAUUUAUAUUUUAUAUACCACCAUCUUUUAGGAUUAAUAUAAAUAUUCUUUCCUUAAUAGAAACUUCUCAUAAGUUAGGUAAAGGUGUAGACUAUAUAAAAGAUAAGAUGGGUUACAUUAAGAAAUACUAAAGGAUAAUCAUUCAAAUAUUUUUGGAAAAAGGAUUUAUUAGUAAUAUUANAAAGAUUAAUUAUAAAUGAAAUUGACAAAUAUGUGCACAUAUCGCCCGUCACUC